CAAGCAGAAGCGCAGGGAAGUCAUGUGUCGCGUUCGUGCCCUCGGCAUAUACAUUCUGCUGCUGAUUUCGUCAUCGGCGCAUCUGACGUUGGGUGGCUAUGGCGACGACAACGACUACGGA